UACAGAGACUGCAAGCGUUAUUCGGAUUCACUGGGCGUAAAGGGUGCGCAGGCGGCCAAGUGUGUUAGGCGUGAAAGCCCGGGGCUUAACCUCGGAAUUGCACCUAAAACUACUUGGCUAGAGCAUUGGAGAGGGUAGCGGAAUUCACGGUGUAGCAGUGAAAUGCGUAGAUAUCGUGAGGAACACCAGAGGCGAAGGCGGCUACCUGGACAAUUGCUGACGCUCAGGCACGAAGCGUGGGGAGCAAAAGGG
rnacentral:rRNA from 1 species